rnacentral:rRNA from 1 species
GACGAACGCUGGCGGCGUGCUUAACACAUGCAAGUCGCCCGAUGAUGCCCAGCUUGCUGGGUGGAUUAGUGGCGAACGGGUGAGUAACACGUGAGUAACCUGCCCCUGACUCUGGGAUCCGCGUUGGAAACGACGUCUAAUCCUGUAUAUGACUGCCGGCCGCAUGGUCUGGUGUUGGCAAGAUUUUUUGGUUGGGGAUGGACUCGCGGCCUAUCAGCUUGUUGGUGAGGUAAUGGCUCACCAAGGCGACGACGGGUAGCCGGCGUGAGAGGGUGACCGGGAAAACUGGGACGGAGAAACGGCCCAGACGCGGACGGGAGGAAGAAGUGGGGAAGAGGGAACAAUGGGAGAAAGACUGAUGCAGAAACGCCGCGUGAGGGAGGACGGCCUGAGGGGGGUAAACCGAGGGGAGUAGGGAAGAAGAGAAAGUGACGGGACAUGCAGAAAAAGAAACGGCUAACGAAGGGCCAGCCGCCGCCGGAAAAC